GACGAACGCUGGCGGCGUGCUUAACACAUGCAAGUCGAACGGAAAGGCCCUGCUUUUGUGGGGUGCUCGAGUGGCGAACGGGUGAGUAACACGUGAGUAACCUGCCCUUGACUUUGGGAUAACUUCAGGAAACUGGGGCUAAUACCGGAUAGGAGCUCCUGCUGCAUGGUGGGGGUUGGAAAGUUUCGGCGGUUGGGGAUGGACUCGCGGCUUAUCAGCUUGUUGGUGGGGUAGUGGCUUACCAAGGCUUUGACGGGUAGCCGGCCUGAGAGGGUAACCGGCCACAUUGGGACUGAGAUACGGCCCAGACUCCUACGGGAGGCAGCAGUGGGGAAUAUUGCACAAUGGGCGGAAGCCUGAUGCAGCAACGCCGCGUGCGGGAUGACGGCCUUCGGGUUGUAAACCGCUUUCGCCUGCGACGAAGCGUGAGUGACGGUAAUGGGUAAAGAAGCACCGGCUAACUACGUG
rnacentral:rRNA from 1 species